rnacentral:rRNA from 1 species
GACGAACGCUGGCGGCGUGCCUAAUACAUGCAAGUCGAACGAGAAUUUCUUACACCGAGUGCUUGCACUCACCGUAAGAAAUUCGAGUGGCGGACGGGUGAGUAACACGUGGGUAACCUGCCCAAAAGAAGGGGAUAACAUUUGGAAACAAAUGCUAAUACCGUAUAACCAUGAUGACCGCAUGGUCAUUAUGUAAAAGGUGGUUUUGCUACCGCUUUUGGAUGGACCCGCGGCGUAUUAACUAGUUGGUAGGGUAACGGCCUACCAAGGUGAUGAUACGUAGCCGAGUUGAGAGACUGAUCGGCCACAAUGGGACUGAGACACGGCCCAUACUCCUACGGGAGGCAGCAGUAGGGAAUCUUCCACAAUGGGCGCAAGCCUGAUGGAGCAACGCCGCGUGAAUGAAGAAGGUCUUCGGAUCGUAAAAUUCUGUUGUUAGAGAAGAAUAUAAGUAAUAGUAAC